rnacentral:rRNA from 1 species
CCUACGGGAGGCAGCAGUGAGGAAUAUUGGACAAUGGGCGCAAGCCUGAUCCAGCCAUGCCGCGUGCAGGAUGACGGUCCUAUGGAUUGUAAACUGCUUUUAUACGAGAAGAAACACUCCUUCGUGAAGGAGCUUGACGGUAUCGUAAGAAUAAGGAUCGGCUAACUCCGUGCCAGCAGCCGCGGUAAUACGGAGGAUCCAAGCGUUAUCCGGAAUCAUUGGGUUUAAAGGGUCCGUAGGCGGUUUAGUAAGUCAGUGGUGAAAGCCCAUCGCUCAACGGUGGAACGGCCAUUGAUACUGCUAGACUUGAAUUAUUAGGAAGUAACUAGAAUAUGUAGUGUAGCGGUGAAAUGCUUAGAGAUUACAUGGAAUACCAAUUGCGAAGGCAGGUUACUACUAAUUGAUUGACGCUGAUGGACGAAAGCGUGGGUAGCGAACAGGAUUAGAUACCCUGGUAGUCCACGCCGUAAACGAUGGAUACUAGCUGUUGGGAGCAAUCUCAGUGGCUAAGCGAAAGUGAUAAGUAUCCCACCUGGGGAGUACGAACGCAAGUUUGAAACUUAAAGGAAUUGACGG